UUUUUUUUUUUUUUAUUUUUCUUUCACUGACCAGCAAAUUCUCUCUGCAUCACUCCGUUGAAUUCACAAAUACGUUGUUGUUAAUUUUGCUCGUCCACACUGUAAGUCCACCUUCAGUGGGCAAAUUGCAAUACCCGUUGAAGUCACUUACUCGCCGUUUAGAAUCUGACGGCAAGCUAGCAUGAAAGUAGAGGCCUUAGGCCCGGGGGG
rnacentral:misc_RNA from 1 species